AGAGCACAGCAUUCAUAAUGCUGGGGUCGGUGGUUCAAGUCCACCCGUAGCUACCA
rnacentral:tRNA from 1 species